rnacentral:tRNA from 2 species
CGGGGUGUAGCGCAGUUGGUUAGCGUUCCUGCUUUGGGAGCAGGGGGUCGUCCGUUCGAGUCGGACCACCCCGAC